UACUAGGGGAUCUCGACUUCAAGUGACUGCGGCGGCGGAAAGAGAAAGGGCAGGAGGAGGGGAAGGAGGAGGCUUUAGGAGGGGUGUCAGAGGACGUCCUGGAGCUGCCGAGAAGAUGUUGGGUGUAGCGGCGGGAAUGACCAACAGAAAUUCACCGGUGGCAGAGGGAGGCAGCAGUAAACAGCACCUGGGACUAAGGAGUGAGGAACCAACUCAAACUGGGCUCCUAGGCUGGACUCCAGGCAUUCCUGAUGUAAGGCCUUGAAAAGCUAUCUUGAAAAUGUGUGUACUUAGCAGUAGAAAGAGCUUAACAGAUCUCUGGUUCCAUCUGCUGGAAUGAAGCAAGAAGACACUCAUUCCUUCUUAAGAAAAGAACUACGAAGAGUUUUUUUGUUUUGGAGAAUAAAACUUUAAAAAAAAAUUCAUAUCUUUUGUUUUUAUAUUACCUUCAUUUCCAAUUUUAUCCCCCUUCCUUUUUACACAUAUACCCCUACCAAGAAAGCCUUCCCUUGUAACAAAAACAAACAAAUAAAUAAAUAAAAGAGAAAGAGGGAGAUAAAGCAGUUUAGCAAAAUUAAUUAAUACAUCACCCAA